rnacentral:rRNA from 1 species
UCCUGCCCAGUGACAAUAGUUCAACGGCCGCGGUAUCCUAACCGUGCAAAGGUAGCAUAAUCACUUGCCCAUUAAUUGUGGGCUAGAAUGAAUGGACUAACGAAAUAAAGACUGUCUCUAUAAGUAAAAUAAAAAUUAAUCUCUAACUGAAGACUUGUUAGAUAACGUCGAAGGACAAGAAGACCCUAUAGAGCUUUAUUUUAACAAAGAAUUUUUCCGUCUUUAUAAAAUUCGGUUGGGGCGACCAGGGAAUACAAAUCAUCCCUUAAUAUAAGAUAAAUAAAUCUAUAUUCUGACCCUUAAUAAAGAUCAUCAGAACAAGCUACCUUAGGGAUAACAGGCUAAUCCUACUAAAGAGUCCUUAUCAAUAGUAGGGGUUGGCACCUCGAUGUUGGCUUAGGGAAUCUAUGUGGCGCAAAAGUCACAUAAAGAUGGUUUGUUCAACCAAUAACACCCUACAUGAGCUGAGUUCAGACCGGCGUAAGCCAGGUUAGCUUCUAUCCUCGAUAACUCCAUCUAUUUAUAGUACGAAAGGACCUAAAUAAGAGUAAUAAUUACUUAAUAACGACUUCGUAUAAGAUAAAUUAAAUUUCCAAAUACAAAAACUAUGUAGUGAGUUGGCAGAAUAGU